rnacentral:antisense_RNA from 1 species
GUCUAUGGCGGACCGUGCGAGUGGGCGCAUGCCCAGCCGGCUUUGCACAAGCUCCCCGGUACUUCCACCUCGCACGGUCCGCCACCCUC